rnacentral:rRNA from 2 species
UGGAUCCAGACUUUGAUCAUGGCUCAGGAUGAGCGCUAGCUACAGGCUUAACACAUGCAAGUCGAGGGGAAACGACAUCGAAAGCUUGCUUUUGAUGGGCGUCGACCGGCGCACGGGUGAGUAACGCGUAUCCAACCUGCCCACCACUUGGGGAUAACCUUGCGAAAGUAAGACUAAUACCCAAUGACGUCUCUAGAAGACAUCUGAAAGAGAUUAAAGAUUUAUCGGUGAUGGAUGGGGAUGCGUCUGAUUAGCUUGUUGGCGGGGUAACGGCCCACCAAGGCUACGAUCAGUAGGGGUUCUGAGAGGAAGGUCCCCCACAUUGGUACUGAGACACGGUCCAAACUCCUACGGGAGGCAGCAGUGAGGAAUAUUGGUCAAUGGACGAGAGUCUGAACCAGCCAAGUAGCGUGCAGGAUGACGGCCCUAUGGGUUGUAAACUGCUUUUAUAAGGGAAUAAAGUGAGUCUCGUGAGACUUUUUGCAUGUACCUUAUGAAUAAGGACCGGCUAAUUCCGUGCCAGCAGCCGCGGUAAUACGGAAGGUCCGGGCGUUAUCCGGAUUUAUUGGGUUUAAAGGGAGCGUGGGCCGGAGAUUAAGCGUGUUGUGUAAUGUAGAUGCUCAACAUCUGCACUGCAGCGCGAACUGGUUUCCUUGAGUACGCACAAAGUGGGCGGAAUUCGUGGUGUAGCGGUGAAAUGCUUAGAUAUCACGAAGAACUCCGAUUGCGAAGGCAGCUCACUGGAGCGCAACUGACGCUGAAGCUCGAAAGUGCGGGUAUCGAACAGGAUUAGAUACCCUGGUAGUCCGCACGGUAAACGAUGGAUGCCCGCUGUUGGUCUGAAUAGGUCAGCGGCCAAGCGAAAGCAUUAAGCAUCCCACCUGGGGAGUACGCCGGCAACGGUGCAACUCAAAGGA